rnacentral:rRNA from 1 species
UAAGGAAUCUUCCGCAAUGGACGCAAGUCUGACGGAGCAACGCCGCGUGAGUGAAGAAGGAUUUCGGUUCGUAAAACUCUGUUGUUAGAGAAGAACAGCGCAUAGAGUAACUGUUAUGCGUGUGACGGUAUCUAACCAGAAAGCCACGGCUAACUACGUGCCAGCAGCCGCGGUAAUACGUAGGUGGCAAGCGUUGUCCGGAUUUAUUGGGCGUAAAGCGAGCGCAGGCGGUCAAUUAAGUCUGAUGUGAAAGCCCCCGGCUCAACCGGGGAGGGUCAUUGGAAACUGGUUGACUUGAGUGCAGAAGAGGAGAGUGGAAUUCCAUGUGUAGCGGUGAAAUGCGUAGAUAUAUGGAGGAACACCAGUGGCGAAGGCGACUCUCUGGUCUGUAACUGACGCUGAGGUUCGAAAGCGUGGGUAGCAAACAGG